GUCCAGAAAAUCUCACACCUGGGCGUGGGAAAUCUCACGCCUGGGUGUGGGAUUUGCUGCCCCAAAAAUUGCCUUUACCCAAACUUGCUAGAAAUUGCUAUUUUUUCCUCCUUUUCACACCAGCAUGUUUCUAUUAUUGCUUGACUUGUUUCUUCGCCCAAGGAUGUCCCGCAUCAGACUCCCUCACUUGGAAAAACUUGUCAUCGAGUUAAAAUAACUUGCAACAAUCAAACAACACAGCCAUAACAACUCUAGCACCAUU
rnacentral:misc_RNA from 1 species